rnacentral:rRNA from 1 species
GACGAACGCUGGCGGCGUGCUUAACACAUGCAAGUCGAACGGAAAGGCCCUGCUUUUGUGGGGUGCUCGAGUGGCGAGCGGGUGAGUAACACGUGAGUAACCUGCCCUUGACUUUGGGAUAACUUCAGGAAACUGGGGCUAAUACCGGAUAGGAGCUCCUGCUGCAUGGUGGGGGUUGGAAAGUUUCGGCGGUUGGGGAUGGACUCGCGGCUUAUCAGCUUGUUGGUGGGGUAGUGGCUUACCAAGGCUUUGACGGGUAGCCGGCCUGAGAGGGUGACCGGCCACAUUGGGACUGAGAUACGGCCCAGACUCCUACGGGAGGCAGCAGUGGGGAAUAUUGCACAAUGGGCGGAAGCCUGGUGCAGCAACGCCGCGUGCGGGAUGACGGCCUUCGGGUUGUAAACCGCUUUCGCCUGUGACGAAGCGUGAGUGACGGUAAUGGGUAAAGAAGCACCGGCUAACUACGUG